UACGUAGGGAGCAAGCGUUGUCCGGAAUCAUUGGGCGUAAAGCGCGCGUAGGUGGCCUCAUAAGUCCGCUGUGAAAGUCAAAGGCUCAACUUUUGAAAGCCGGUGGAUACUGUGAGGCUAGAGUACGGAAGAGGCGAGUGGAAUUCCUGGUGUAGCGGUGGAAUGCGCAGAUAUCAGGAGGAACACCAAUAGCGAAGGCAGCUCGCUGGGACGUUACUGACACUGAGGCGCGAAAGCCAGGGGAGCAAACGGG
rnacentral:rRNA from 1 species